rnacentral:rRNA from 1 species
GAUGAACGCUGGCGGCGUGCUUAACACAUGCAAGUCGAACGAAGCAUUUGCGACAGAUUUUUUCGGAAUGAAGUUGCUUAUGACUGAGUGGCGGACGGGUGAGUAACGCGUGGGUAACCUGCCUUGUACUGGGGGGUAGCAGCUGGAAACGGCUGGUAAUACCGCAUAAGCGCACAAUGUUGCAUGACAUGGUGUGAAAAACUCCGGUGGUAUAAGAUGGACCCGCGUCUGAUUAGCUAGUUGGUGAGAUAACAGCCCACCAAGGCGACGAUCAGUAGCCGACCUGAGAGGGUGACCGGCCACAUUGGGACUGAGACACGGCCCAGACUCCUACGGGAGGCAGCAGUGGGGAAUAUUGCACAAUGGAGGAAACUCUGAUGCAGCGACGCCGCGUGAGUGAAGAAGUAAUUCGUUAUGUAAAGCUCUAUCAGCAGGGAAGAUAGUGACGGUACCUGACUAAGAAGCUCCGGCUAAAUACGU